GCUGGGCGUGGUGGCUCACGCCUGUAAUCCCAGCACUUUGGGAGGCCAAGGCGGGUGGAUCACCUGAGGUCAGGAGUUCAAGACCAGCCUGACCAACAUGGUGAAACCCCGUCUCUA
rnacentral:SRP_RNA from 1 species